GGCGCUAUAGUGUAGUGGUUAUCACUCGGGAUUCUGACCGUGCUCAACUUCCCGAAACCCAGGUUCGAACCCUGGUAGCGCCU